UAAAGCAAGAAAGGGCGUAUGGGGAAUGCCUAGGCACACUCCGGCGAAGAAGGACGCAGCAAACAGCGAAAUGCGACGGUGAGCGGUAAGCACGUGAAGAGCCGUCGAUAUCCGAAUGGGGGAACCCACACGGAGUCAUAUCCGUGUAUCACAUGUCGAAUACAUAGACAUGAUGAGGCGAGACGCAGGGAACUGAAACAUCUAAGUACCUGCAGGAAGAGAAAAUAAGAAUGAUUUUCUGAGUAGCGGCGAGCGAAAGGGAAAGAGCCCAAACCGAUCUUAGGAUCGGGGUAGUAGGAUCAUCGAGAAAUCUGACAGAGGAUCAUAGAGGAAUCACAUGGGAAGGUGAGCGAGAGAGGGUGAGAGCCCCGUACUCGAAAUGAGAGACUGGAGAGAGAUGACACCUGAGUAGGGCGGGACACGAGAAAUCCUGUCUGAAUCGGCCGGGACCAUCCGGCAAGGCUAAAUACGAGAGAGUGACCGAUAGUGAACCAGUACCGUGAGGGAAAGGUGAAAAGAACCCCGGGAGGGGAGUGAAAGAGAACCUGAAACCAUAUGCCUACAAGAAGUCAGAGCCCGUUAAAGGGUGAUGGCGUGCCUUUUGUAGAAUGAACCGGCGAGUUACUGUAUGGAGCGAGGUUAAGCAGGAUAUGCGGAGCCGAAGCGAAAGCGAGUCUUAAGAGGGCGAGAGUUGCAUGCAGUAGACCCGAAACCGGGUGAUCUAGCCAUGACCAGGUUGAAGUUGGGGUAAAACCCGAUGGAGGACCGAACCGACCCCCGUUGAAACGUUGGCGGAUGAGUUGUGGCUAGGGGUGAAAUUCCAAUCGAACCCGGAGAUAGCUGGUUCUCCCCGAAAUAGCUUUAGGGCUAGCGUCGAGGUAAGUUGCGUGAAGGUAGAGCACUGAAUAUGUGAUGGCCCCAUCUCGGGGUACUGAGCAUAAUCAAACUGCGAAUGUCACGCCAACAUGCUCGGCAGUCAGACAGCGGGUGAUAAGGUCCGUUGUCAAGAGGGAAACAGCCCAGACCAUCAGCUAAGGUCCCAAAAUGUAUGCUAAGUGGAAAAGGAUGUGGAGAUGUACAGACAACUAGGAGGUUGGCUCAGAAGCAGCCAUCCUUUAAAGAGUGCGUAACAGCUCACUAGUCGAAUGACUCUGCGCCGAUAAUUUACCGGGGCUAAGCAUACUACCGAAGCUAUGGAUCCCAAGGGAUGGUAGGGGAGCGUUCCAUGAACGGAGAAGUACGACCGAAAGGACGUGUGGAGAUCAUGGAAGAGAGAAUGCCGGUGUGAGUAGCGGAACGUGGGUGAGAAUCCCACGCACCGAAAACCCAAGGUUUCCAGAGGAAGGUUCGUCCGCUCUGGGUAAGUCGGGACCUAAGGCGAGGCCGAAAGGCGUAGUCGAUGGACAACAGGUAGAGAUUCCUGUACCCGUAUAUAUGUGAAGGAAUGACGGAGAGAGGAAGCUGCAGCCAGCGGCUGGAAGAGCUGGUGCAAGCGAGAUAUCGGGAUGGCAGGCAAAUCCACCAUCCGAAACGAGAAGGCGUGAAGCGUACGGAAAGCUACGGCGAGUACGGAAGGCAGUGGAGGAACUUCCAAGAAAAGUUUCUAACGUUAAGUAUAUAUGGCCCGUACCGAAAAUGGACACACAUGGGUGAGGAGAGAAUCCUAAGGUGAGCGAGAGAACUAUAGCUAAGGAACUCUGCAAAAUGACUCCGUAACUUAGGGAGAAGGAGUGCUCAUAGAGAUAUGAGCCGCAGUGAAACGGCCCAAGCGACUGUUUACCAAAAACACAGCUCUCUGCUAAGCCGCAAGGCGAAGUAUAGGGGGUGACGCCUGCCCGGUGCUGGAAGGUUAAGGGGAGGGGUUAACGCAAGUGAAGCCCUGAACUGAAGCCCCAGUAAACGGCGGCCGUAACUAUAACGGUCCUAAGGUAGCGAAAUUCCUUGUCAGGUAAG
rnacentral:rRNA from 1 species